rnacentral:rRNA from 1 species
GACGAACGCUGGCGGCGUGCUUAACACAUGCAAGUCGAACGGAAAGGCCCUGCUUUUGUGGUGUGCUCGAGUGGCGAACGGGUGAGUAACACGUGAGUAACCUGCCCUUGACUUUGGGAUAACUUCAGGAAACUGGGGCUAAUACCGGAUAGGAGCUCCUGCUGCAUGGUGGGGGUUGGAAAGUUUCGGCGGUUGGGGAUGGACUCGCGGCUUAUCAGCUUGUUGGUGGGGUAGUGGCUUACCAAGGCUUUGACGGGUAGCCGGCCUGAGAGGGUGACCGGCCACAUUGGGACUGAGAUACGGACCAGAGUCCUACGGGAGGCAGCAGUGGGGAAUAUUGCACAAUGGGCGGAAGCCUGAUGAAGAAACGCCGCGUGCGGGAUGACGGCCUUCGGGUUGUAAACCGCUUUCGCCUGUGACGAAGCGUGAGUGACGGUAAUGGGUAAAGAAGCACCGGCUAACUACGUG